GUGGGAAUUAAACUCCGGUCACCAGGCUUGGUGGAUAACUUAUAACUCCUUUCAUGCUAUUUUUAUAUGGACUGCUCUUAAGGGUGGAAAGAGAACAUUUACAUUGAAGUGAUGGGAAAUGAAAUAGAAGGCUUAUUCUGAAAUGAAAUUAAACUUUGAAUGCUAUGCUGACUGCAAUUUCCAGAUGACAGGGGCGAUGACUGAGUGAUCACAGAAAUACCAUCGGCAGCUUACAGUUUCUUGGCCUUUGUAUCUCUCAGAAGGAAUCCACUGUCAUUAUCUUACAAUAUCCUCACACUAACAUGGUCAGGAAGCGCAGGGACAAGGCGUGGAUCAGAGACUGAGGGAGGAGUUGUCCAGGAACUGUCCCACCUGGGGGUCCAUCCCAUGUGCAGCCACCAAACCUAGACACUUGCUGAUGCUGGGAAAUGCUUGCUGGCAGGAACCUGAUGUAGAUGUCUCCUGAGAGGCUAUGUCAGAGCCUUUUGUAUGCAGAUGUGGAUGCUUGGAGCCGAACAUCGGACUGAUCACAGGGUCCUCAAUGGAGGAUUUGGGGGAAGGACUGAAGGAGCUGAAGGGGUUUGCAACCCCAUAGGAAGAAUGAUAACAUCAACCAACCUGAAUCCCCAGAGCUCCCAGGGACUGAGCCACCAAACCAAGGAGUACACAUGGAGGGACCCAUGGCUCCAGCUGCAUAUGUAACAGAGGAUGGCUUUAUGAGGCAUCAAUGGAAGGGGUAGCCCUUGGUCCUGUGGAGGCUCAACGGCCCAGUGUAGGGGAAUGCUAGGGUGCUGGGACUGGAGUGGGUGGGUGGGUGGGUGGGUGGGUGGGUGGGGGAGCACUCUCGUGGAGGCAGGGGUAGGAGGGUGGAGUGGGGAUUUUCGAGAGGAGGGGGAACCGGGAGGAGGGAUAGCAUUUGAAAUGUAAAUAAACAAAAUAACAAAUAAAAGUUAAUAAUAAUAAAAGAAAACUCAAAUGAAACGUGUAUGGGCCAAAGCAUAGUUAUAUGCAAGUCAGUCCUGGCCUUUGCUUUGUCUAAAGUCAAGAUGAUUGGCUAAGCAGCUGUGCUAGCUGGCCCUUUAACUUCCAGGGAUUCACUCUGCUCUGCUUCCCCUCUCGGUAGCAACACUGGAUUACAGAUGUUUGGCUGCACCUGGCUUCUACAUGGGGAUCCAGACUCAGACCCUGAUGCUUGUCGAUCAAGCACUGUACCCACCGAAUCACCUCUCUGGGCUCUGAAGAGUUAAAGGUCAAAAAGUAUAGGAGAAAAACACAUCCUUUCUAAGUAUUCAGUCUUUGUUCAUAGUAAUGAUGAAAUUCAAAUGUUUGUAAUCACAAAAUUACAAAAGACAAAUUUCUCAGAUGACAAUUAUAACAGGGUGGAUGGGUUGGGAUAUUCUCCUCUAUUAUUUUUACUGAGUCUGAACUGGACAACCAAUUCAUUUGUCUGGCCCGAGGAAGUGAUCUGUCACAGGAGAUCGAAUGACUAUCCCCAAAGGAAUUUGUAGAAAUGCCACUAGUCUGGCUGGGUUUUCUUUUUAUUUAAUUACUUAUAAUUUGAAACCACACCAUGGUCUCCUUAGUUACCACUGCAGAAUCACUAAAGUUUAAUGUAGUAACGAUGCCUCAUUAAAGAGAUCUUAAGAUAUAUGAGUUCCCGGUUUAUGCUAUUGAAGCAAAUAAAUACAUCCUGAGACUGUAAAACAUGAUUGUCUUAUUAAUGACCAUUUCCUCAAUACCCCUCCCCCCCAAAUGAGAACAUGCUGUGUAAACUUCUAAAAUAAAAGUGCUAAGCUUAAAGUGUUUCUCCUGGUCAAAAGAUAAAACUAAAAUACUUUCACAACCUCUGCUCUAGGAUUCCUUGAUUCGGAUUUUUAAAAUUUAUUUUGUUUUAUUUUAUUUUUAUAAAGGGAGUGAUGAAAAAGUCAGAAUUAUUUUUUUGGACUACGUGCAGUUUGGCUUGUUCAUGUAGUUACAAAAAAAAAAAAACCCAAAUGUUUAUCCAACAAAAUGCUGAGAAUCAUGUCUCCUGGGAAAUUUACACAAGGUCAUAGUUUUAUGAGCAUUAAAAAAAAAUCCUGUAAGGCAAAGGAGCGUGUAAUAUGAGAAAGCAAAGAAGCUGAGAAAGAAAAAUUCAGAUUUUGGUGGCUAAAACAUCUAUUCAGACAAAAGGUUACUGUUUUGCUAAAGUACUAUAUUUCAUUUGCAA